ACCGGCGAACGGGUGCGUAACGCGUAUGCAAUCUACCUUGUACAGGGGAAUAGCUUUCGGAAACGAGAAUUAAUACCCCAUAGUAGGAAGAUAACGCCUGUUAUCUUUCUUAAAGCUUCGGUGGUACAAGCGGAGCAUGCGUCCCAUUAGCUAGUAGGUGAGGUAACGGCUCACCUAGGCGAUGAUGGGUAGGGGUUCUGAGAGGAAGAUCCCCCACACUGGCACUGAGACACGGGCCAGACUCCUACGGGAGGCAGCAGUAGGGAAUAUUGGUCAAUGGGCGCAAGCCUGAACCAGCCAUGCCGCGUGCAGGAAGAAGGCCCGUAAGGUUGUAAACUGCUUUUAUAGGAGAACAAACCCCUCCGGCGGGAGGGUCUGAGGGUAUCCUAAGAAUAAGCACCGGCUAACUCCGUGCCAGCAGCCGCGGUAAUACGGAGGGUGCAAGCGU
rnacentral:rRNA from 1 species